UGAACAACACCGAAUCAGAAGUGAUUCAGAAGUCUGUACAGCCUCUCUCCCUCUCUCUCCCUCUCCUCUCUCUCCCUCUCUCUCCCUCUCUCUCUCUCUCCCACUCCUCUCCUCUCUCCCUCUCCUCUCUCUCUCUCCCUCUCCUCUCUCUCUCUCUCACUCAUCUCCUCUCUCCCUCUCCUCUCCUCUCCUCUCCUCUCUCUCUCUCCUCGCUCCCUCUCCUCUCUCUCUCCCCCCCCUCUCCUCUCUCUCUCUCUCCCACUCCUCUCCUCUCCUCUCCUCUCCUCUCUCCCACUCUCUCCCUCUCCUCUCCUCUCUCCUCUCUCCCUCUCCUCUCCUCUCUCCUCUCUCCCUCUCCUCUCUCUCUCUCUCCCACUCCUCUCCUCUCCUCUCUCCCACUCCUCUCCUCUCCUCUCCUCUCCCUCUCCUCUCCUCUCCUCUCCUCUCUCCUCUCUCCCUCUCCUCUCUCUCUCUCUCCCACUCCUCUCCUCUCCUCUCUCCCUCUCCUCUCUCCCACUCCUCUCCUCUCUUCUCCUCUCCCUCUCCUCUCUCCCUCUCCUCUCUCCCACUCCUCUCCCUCUCUCUCCCACUCCUCUCCUCUCUCCCUCUCCUCUCCUCUCUCAUCUCUCUCUCUCCCACUCCUCUCCUCCCUCUCUCCCUCUCUCUCCCUCUCCUCUUUCCUCUCCUCUCCCUCUCCUCUCUCCCUCUCCUCUCUCUCUCUCUCUCCCACUCCUCUCCUCUCCUCUCUCUCUCUCUCCCUCUCUCUCUCUCCCUUUCCUCUCCUCUCUCUCCCUCUCCUCUCUCUCUCUCUCCCUCUCCUCCCUCUCUCUCCCUCUCCUCUUUCCUCUCCUCUCCCUCUCCUCUCUCCCUCUCCUCUCUCUCUCUCUCUCCCACUCCUCUCCUCUCCUCUCUCUCUCUCUCCCUCUCUCUCUCUCUCCCUUUCCUCUCCUCUCUCUCUCUCCUUUCUCUCUCUCUCUCCCACUCCUCUCCUCUCUCUCUCCCUCUCCCUCUCCUCUCCUCUCUCCCUCUCCUCUCUCUCUCUCUCCCACUCCUCUCCUCUCCUCUCUCUCUCUCUCCCUCUCCUCUCUCUCUCCCUCUCCUCUCCUCUCUCUCCCUCUCACCUGUAGGCUCUGUCUGCAGGGGUUCUCCGCACUGUGGUUGACGUGG
rnacentral:lncRNA from 1 species